ACCCACUUAAAUCAGUGGUUAGAGUAUCGCUUUCAUACGGUGAGAUUCGUUGGUUCAAAUCCAAUAGUAGGUA
rnacentral:tRNA from 1 species